GACGAACGCUGGCGGCGUGCUUAACACAUGCAAGUCGAACGGAAAGGCCCUGCUUUUGUGGGGUGCUCGAGUGGCGAACGGGUGAGUAACACGUGAGUAACCUGCCCUUGACUUUGGGAUAACUUCAGGAAACUGGGGCUAAUACCGGAUAGGAGCUCCUGCUGCAUGGUGGGGGUUGGAAAGUUUCGGCGGUUGUGGAUGGUCUCGCGGCUUAUCAGCUUGUUGGUGGGGGAGUGGCUUACCAAGGCUUUGACGGGUAGCCGGCAUGAGAGGGUGAACGGCGACAUUGGGACUGAGAGACGGAGCAGAAUCGAACGGGAGGCAGCAGUGGGGAAGAUGGCAGAAUGGGCGGAAGCGUGAUGCAGAAACGCCGCGUGCGGGAUGACGGGCUUCGGGUUGUAAACCGAUUUCGCAUGUGACGAAGAGGGAGUGACGGUAAUGGGUAAAGAAGCACCGGCUAACUACGUG
rnacentral:rRNA from 1 species